CAUAAAUUUGGUGCUUUUCUUUGCAAGAUAUCAUUGUGGAAAUUGUUGGACGUGGAAAAAUCACCAAAUACACUAAAGAUAACAAGCAAAGCAUGCGUCUGCAUCUACGACUGAUGGAUUUAAGUGGCAUUCUUAUGAAUUGUGCUCUAUGGGGGGAUUACGCCCAUCAAGUUGAUAACUUUUUCAAAGAUCCAAAGAAUGACGGUCGUGUUGUGAUUGUUAUUCAACUUGCGAAGUUGCGCAUCUGGGAUGGUGAACCACAAUUGGGUAACUGUAUGUUUGGUACCCGUAUUUAGAUGAACUCUGACAUGCCUGAAACUAAACACUUCAU